GCCUGCAUAGCUCAGUCGGUAGAGCAUCAGACUUUUAAUCUGAGGGUCGCGGGUUCAAGUCCCUCUGUGGGCG
rnacentral:tRNA from 1 species